CAGCCCGUUCAUACAACUGCUCCUCACGCCUUAUGCCUCUCCCUGAACCAGCCCUGAGCUUUCUCCUGGCCCUUCUCUGGGGCUGUUUGUCCUGCUUUUCCCAAGUUCUCAACUUGCAAAGCCCCUCCAGGACUCCUUGGCUGAUCCUGCCUUUCCAGGUGGCCUCUCCUCAUCGCUGCCCUUGGAGCUGCAUCCCUUCAGCAGAGAACACAAACCCAGGGUCUGCCCAGCUCAGAGUCCUCUUCCCUCCCCAGUCACCACUGCAGAUUACAGAGAGAGAAGCGAAAAAAUCACUGCUGAUGCUCCUGUUAUCCAUAUCCAUGUGUGCUGGGCUCUUCUUAACCUCUGGACUCCAUCUGUGGGAUUCACAUAAAAUAUUGUUACUAUGAGGGCCAUGAAAAAACAACCAGAAUAAAACUGGUGUGCUUGGGAAGUGUCCUUAUGAAAGAUCCAUCAGAUUAUUGCGAUAGUUUCGUGUCCCUGGCUGUGGAGAAGGACACACAGCCUGGGCUGAAGGCUCAACUCUACUGGACGUGCAUGUGGCAUAUCCUGUGGCUCCAGUUCCAGCUUUUUUAUGGUCCUGUGAGUCAUCCAGGCAGAAAGUGACUGAAUGCUUUGAUAAAAACCUAAUUUUAAUAACAGGAAUCAUAUAUACCAAUAAUGCCCGUGAAAUGAUCCCUACUUCUGUAGCAGGACAGCGUGACAGCAUCAGCUGGGCUCUGGCUCCCUGAGCAAGAGAAAUGCCAGGGAAUUUUCUCAAACUUUACAGCACAGAAGGUCACCUGGAAGGGAAUUUAUCUAUUUAAGAGGAACAAUGGACUGGAAACAGCUUUACUGGAUUUGAGACUGUGGUUCCAGGAAGUCCAGCUGUGUCAAAUUCAAUUCUUGGAGCACUAAAUCCACCUUUAUCAUCUUUUCCCUGCUUGUCCUUGGCAUUAUCAUGACCCCGAGGUCUCUUUAUCUGUUAAAUUCCAAUGUGGCUGAUGCAUUUGAACUUCCCUCUAGUAGAUCUCUCGCUGUACUACCUGGAUUUCCCUCUGCCACCUUUCACCUGGGGAGGGCGGGUUGGAAAAUUA